rnacentral:rRNA from 1 species
UACGUAGGGGGCAAGCGUUGUCCGGAUUUAUUGGGCGUAAAGAGCGUGUAGGCGGCCAAGCAGGUCCGCUGUGAAAACUCGAGGCUCAACCUCGAGAGGUCGGUGGAAACCGUUUGGCUAGAGUCCGGAAGAGGAGAGUGGAAUUCCCGGUGUAGCGGUGAAAUGCGCAGAUAUCGGGAGGAACACCUGUGGCGAAAGCGGCGCACUGGACCAUAACUGACGCUGAGGCGCGAAAGCUAGGGGAGCAAACAGG